CGUAGGUGAACCUGCGGAGGGAUCAUUACUGAGUUUACGCUCUACAACCCUUUGUGAACAUACCUAUAACUGUUGCUUCGGCGGGUAGGGUCUCCGCGACCCUCCCGGCCUCCCGCCUCCGGGCGGGUCGGCGCCCGCCGGAGGAUAACCAAACUCUGAUUUAACGACGUUUCUUCUGAGUGGUACAAGCAAAUAAUCAAAACUUUUAACAACGGAUCUCUUGGUUCUGGCAUCGAUGAAGAACGCAGCGAAAUGCGAUAAGUAAUGUGAAUUGCAGAAUUCAGUGAAUCAUCGAAUCUUUGAACGCACAUUGCGCCCGCCAGCAUUCUGGCGGGCAUGCCUGUUCGAGCGUCAUUUCAACCCUCAAGCUCUGCUUGGUGUUGGGGCCCUACAGCCGAUGUAGGCCCUCAAAGGUAGUGGCGGACCCUCCCGGAGCCUCCUUUGCGUAGUAACUUUACGUCUCGCACUGGGAUCCGGAGGGACUCUUGCCGUAAAACCCCCCAAUUUUCCAAAGGUUGACCUCGGAUCAGGUAGGAAUACCCGCUGAACUUAAGCAUAUCA
rnacentral:rRNA from 1 species